UCCGGAGGGGGCUAGCGUUGUUCGGAAUUACUGGGCGUAAAGCGCACGUAGGCGGCUUUGCAAGUUAGAGGUGAAAGCCCGGGGCUCAACUCCGGAAUUGCCUUUAAAACUGCAUCGCUAGAAUUGUGGAGAGGUAAGUGGAAUUCCGAGUGUAGAGGUGAAAUUCGUAGAUAUUCGGAAGAACACCAGUGGCGAAGGCGUCAUCCUGGACCGGCAUUGACGCUGAGGAGCGAAAGCUAGGGGAGCAAACGGG
rnacentral:rRNA from 1 species